GCCAAGUAAUCCACUGUAGUUUGGUGCAUGAAGCAUGCGGAUCGAAAUGGAGUUCCACAUGCCCUAAAGAGUAGAGACCACUGCAGACUGCACUGCACUGCACUUGCACACACACAUGGCUGAUGAACCGCACCAUGCAUGCUGUGCACAAGCUCAAGUGGCUGUGUAUGUCUCUCCGUGUCCGUGUGGUAAAAGUGACGUGGAAAUCUUAUCACUCUUAUCCUGAUGAAACGAUCAGGGGCUUCAAGUUGUUUUUGUGGCUUAUCCGGAUCCGAUCCUUAGCUUGAAGAGGUACUCGUGAUCGGGACGAAGAGCGUGCAUCGACGACCGAUGAUGGAGAUGGCGAGAAGAAUUCCUGGAACUCUCUCCGUGGUGUGGCUCGAUCAACCUGAAAAUGAGGCGGCGGUGGUGACAGGAAUGCACUGGAAAGAUUCUGGGAAGAGGAAACACGGAAGAAACCUCGCCGGCCGGCAUGAUCAAUCCGAUCAGCCCGGCCCGGCCGUCACGCCUCUGUCUACCCCUGAUUUGGCUAGCCGCCGUCCAUGCUGCCGGCCGGCUGCUUUGUCGACGAAAUAUCGGCUGAUGAUCCGACGACUACACUGACCCGUCGUCGAUCGAGCUUAGCUAUUGGGGUAUAACUGCUGCACUUAUCAUGUAACAGUGGUGGGCCCGGGCUAUAAUCAUCAUGUAACCGGCCCUCAACUAGCUUGCUUGCGAUAUUCUUUUAUCCCCCACUACUCGAUUCUUGCUUUUUAUUUCCUCGCUUUGCCUAGCUUUUUUCUCUUCCGAUCCAAUUGUGUGUUCUUUUUGGGGCCUCUUGCAUUUCUUUAAUGGAAAAGAACAGUGUGUGGGAGCCUUGCAUUUUUUUUUUGAAGUAAUGGGGCCUUGCAUUUUCGUGGCUCUCAAAAGAAGGCCCCCUACUAAUUAAGCUUUUUUUUGUAUUUUUUAUUAUUUGAAUAAAUGAAAUUCUUCAGUUUGUGCAGUUAUUUAAGGGAGUCUUCUUGCUAAGCUGUAUGAAUAAUAGAUCUUCAGUAACAUGCCUUAUGUUCUAGGUAUAGCAUAAGAAUAUAUAGUCUACCAAAAAUCGUCGUCUGCUUGGAGAAAAUGCGUUGAAUUAGAGAAUGGUAGGCACGGAAACGAUGACUUGGUAAAUGUUAAUAUAAAAUGGCAAAAGCAAAAGGACAUGGAACGAAAGCAGCAAUUUGCCGAUAUUUUUGUAGAAUACAGCAAUGCAAGAAGAUAACCACUUCAUCACGGAGCCGCCGGAGAGUAAAGCGUGAGGGGAAUUUCCAGCAAACCUAAGCCAUGGUCGCCAGUCACUACUAGCCCCCUGUGUAGCGUAGCUAUCUACUGACAGGACAUGGUAUGUCAUCGUGUCCACAUAAGCAAGAUAAAGAUAAACUUAUUAAGGGCGACCUUUCAAGUACACUAGGCUCUACUGACCCCUCGUAAACCUUUCGAUUUUCAUUUCUUCCAUCCCUUUUUCGGUUUUCAAUGAUUCCUCCUCCCUGCUUGAGAUAGACAUCAAGAGCUGGCUCGCACAAAAAUGCUCUAAGAUUGAUAUGUUUUUUCCCCCCUUUGUGCAUAUUUUUAAUUUCAUCAAGAAGAAAAUCAAAAUAGACCAUGAAUGCACAUUUCCACAAGUGAUGGAGGACGACUGAGAGCCAAUCAAAAACAUGGGAAUGAAAAUAUGGAGCCACAAUGCAUGUGCCGGUUUAUUUAAGAUCCCACCCCCACAGCGAAAGGGACUCAGCUGGCUGCUGGAUCAUACGGAUGGAACCAACACGUAGGCGGGUAGAGCGUGCACACGCAUAUCCGGAAGAACAGGAUCCACCCGGGCACUAUGCCGCAACGGUGACAGGACACGUUGCCUUCUCGCGGCCACAUAAGCAGAAAAAUUGUGGAUAGGGCGGAACUUUCCAGGUGGCCCCUCCGUCCGACUCGGCAGGCGGCUGCCGUCCAUCCAGGGAGCCGCGGAUAGGACAAGGGGUGACUUGGGAUCCACAUAGGCAAAAAGCCCAGGGCAACCAACUCCAAGCAAUUGCUGCGUGCACCAUUUGUGUGUGUGUUGGUUGCAUGUAUGUGUACAUGUGGGCAGACAUCCUGAUUCCAUCAGUUACAGAGUCGAUGUCAAAAAUUCCAUCUUUUGAAUAACAUAUACUCCUUCGGUCCCUCCGUCGUCAAACUAUAUUUCAGAUGGAUGAAGUAGUGACUAGAAAGGAUGCAUGCAUGCGCACAUCAACGAAAAUUUGGAAUUGGCUUUCAUUAGGGUCCGUUAGCUAUCUCUGAUCAGUGUAACUGUAUAAAACACAUACCUAAACCAUCAUUACACCAGUUUGCAUUGACAUGUCAAAAAGGAGAGGCUGCUACAACAAGCCCGGCUUUGAAUAAUUGAAUUUAAAGUGAGUAAUAGGAAGCUUCUGCACUACAACAUGCUAAUUGUGCCAUUGCCUCCAAAAUCCUAGAUACUCCAAUGCAUAAGGGACCAUAUGUAUUGGAAUCAAAUAACCCAUAUAUCGAAACGAUCUAACUCUGUCCCACGUAUUAAAUAAUUAAUUAAUUACUCGCACAUACAUGUAUAUAAGAGUGUAUGGAUCAGCUAGCUGUCGUUGGUGUGAACUAAUUUGGUACACCUAAUUUUAUCUCUUCAUUAGUAGUUAUACUGGAAAGCAGUUGCAUAACGGGACUCCACUGAUAGCAACAGCAUGUGCCUUCCUAUCCACAGAUCAGGUCAGCAAUAUAAAAAUUUUAACGGUUGGAUGUGGGAGGAAGCCAGUUCGUUGUUCAGACUGGCCAUGACAUACUGGGGAAAAAAAUAUGGUACACCGCAGGAUCAUGACCAGCUUUACUCAUAUGAGUUGUACUCUGUCUUAGUGAAUAUACAUGUAAUUCAUUUUUUCUUUUGAAAAUAAACUAUAUAUGAUUUUUUUACAUCGCCCGCUGAAUUCAAAUUAAUCAUCGCUAGCUGCGGAAUUCAAAUUAAUCAUUCUCCUUCGGAAAAACCAUGCACCAAUUUAAGUGGAACUAGUCUUCUGAAAAAGGUGCAUAGGCAUAUCAGAGUCCAUGGAACACCUAAUAUCUCAUUAAAGUGGUGCAAGUAAUUCUUUGGUUCAUAAUAGAUUAUUAAUUAGGUACACCAAAAACACUAGUUUGUCAUCAUUUUAAUUAUCAGUUUCUCACAGCAAAUUUAUGAAACCUAUAAAUGAAGUUGAAGUUAGGGAGACUAUUGUUCCUUGACAGAUAUAGGAGAACAAGAAAAAGUAGAUACCACAAGGACGUCGGUUAAAUUCUUACAUUUAGAUUUGAUUGUGAUUGUGCGUGAAAAUAUUUAGAUGACCUCACACGCGAAAAGAUACGCAACAACAGUUCUAUCAAAAUCUAAGGUUCCAUAUAAACAAGUAAGUCAUGUCAACUUCUACGACUUAGGAAAAUGUCGUAAAAGAACCGACAGGCCGAAUGUCCGCUGAGUAAGACGUGCAAGUUUGUCGACCGAGUUACGUUGGUCACACCGGUUCGACGCGCCGCGUCCUCGCGACUCAUAUGUUGACCUAAAAACUUCCCUUUCGUCAAACAUCAUGGUGCCCAACAUUUUUAAACCCAUUUUUCAAAAGGUGUUUGGUAUGAUGAGAAACUCCCUAGUCACAAGUCACAACAACCUAGUGUACCGGAUAACCUCUGGCUACCAGACACUGUGGGACUCGUGACGCCAGCACAAACGGCUCUCGUCAAUUAGAAUAGGCUAAAUUAAUGUUGGCUGCCGCUGUGGAGAGACGCCGGGCGGGCCAACACAAAAAUUCAAGUGGGGAUUGAACCGAACCCUGCCCGCCUCUCUCUCCUCCGAUCCUCGGCAUCUAUAUAAGGAGCCUGCGGCCACCGGUUGUUUCAACAAGGAAACAAAGCUUCAGCUAGCUUGCACAAGAGAGAAACAGUCUUUCUUGGCUUGUUGGAGAGACGUGUUAGCAUAGCCACGAAAGACAGGGAGAGCUGGCGAGCUUGAGGGAUAGAGAGAGAAUGGCAAGGCAAGGUGUAGCCGCCAUGUUCGCCAUGGCAUUGCUCCUCGGGGUCUUUGCAUCCAUCCCACAAAGUGAUUACCUCUCUCUCUCUCUCUUCUUCUCCUCCUCCUCCUCCUCCUCUCUCUCUCUCCCUCUCAUGUUUGCAUUCAUGUUGACAGAAUAAAAUGAUUAGGUAGGGCGCGCAUGCAUGUUCUUGUUUGUGCACGGCAUAGGAGAGUUAGUUCCUUCAGAGGAAGCGGAUAGCUAGUAAAUAAGUUAUUUCAGGUCCGGUUAAUAAUUCAGUUACGUAGCCAUGUCAUGAGCUAAGAUAAUAUAGGAGAGAGAAACGCACACAGCAGUCACACAUCUCUCUCUCAUCAACAACGACAUGCAAGGAUAUAGCCCUUUACUUUAGCCGUCAAAACCGCCCGUCCUUUUUGGUGCCCGUCGCUUUCUUGCGGCGUUUAUUCUGUAUAGCAUAGGUCACACAGGGUAAACGCCGUCUAUUUCACUCUCCACGGAUCACUCGUGCAGCAAUGGAACAGUAGUUUUGAAGAUUUUUUUUUUCUGGCACCAAUCACUUUCUUAAAGGAAAUCAAGAAACCUAGAUUUUGACUGCCGGCUCUCAUCAGUUGUUUUUAAUACUAUUUUUUCUCUUGGCUUGCGAAACUUGUUUUCGUGUGUAGUGUUUGGAGGCAGGCAGACUUGAAAAUUGACUCUAGGGUAACAUAUGUAUUUUUUUACAGCACGGGAACAUAAAGUUUUCUACACAGAAAAAUGGAUAGAAAUAAUAUCUUAAGCAUAGAUGCUUCUUCGAGGAAUCGAUAUCUUAAUCAAAAUCACCUUGAAAAGGAUGUUUCUGGCCGGCUAGCUAGUAUCUAAACCGCAAAAGUUGAUGGAGAAACAUGGAGAGGCUAGUAGCUAGUAAAGUUACUGUGCCAGAUGGGUCAUGUGUGUCGUCUGCAUGCAGCAGCAAGCUUGCAAAUGAAGCCUAGCCUUUGUUCGGUGACCACGCACGUCACUUUAAUUAGCUCGCUAGUUGCCUCUCCUAACCAUCUUUCCGAAACGAUCAGUCACGAAAGGUUAGCUCAGACGACUAGUCUCCGUCUUUCACUCUUUCUAUCUUUCUUUCUCUCAGCGUCAUGCAAAUUAAUAACUUUAGUUUAAUUAGCUACCUCGCCCAUGCGUGCAUGAUCGAGUGCAAAAGCUUUUUUGUGCCGGCCGCUGUUGUCGCAAGUCCUCCUACCACACUACUCCAAUUCCUCACGAGAGCUCGCCGAUGAUUCGACGAGAAUUCGGUGCAACCACUCUGCGCAGCGCAAUCAACCUGCAGACCAAACCCUUCGCUCGCCGCCAUCCUUUUCAUUCCGUUGCGUCGUACCACUCCACCGGCGGCGGUUCGCCGGCCGUCGUCGUCGCGUCACUUGACGCUUUGUCAACGGCCGGCGACGCAUGAUGCCGCACCGGCCGGCCGGCCGGCUACUCAUGUGUACGGCGUCAGCUGCUCCAUUCUUCAAGCUUGUUGAUUAGCUAGCUAGCGGCUGGUGGUGCAGGAUGAUCGAUCGAGUUUAAUGCUGUUGGUCUGAUUUGGCUAUCCCAUAACCAACUCAAUUGGGGAUUAGACUUAAAAUGGAUUAAUAAUCAUUCAUGAAUAGGGUUAGCUAGUUCUGACGACCAGGUGCAAAUCAUAAGGUUGCAGUUGCAGCUGAGUGGUCUUGGUCUAGUCAGGAUUGCAUUGUCAGCUGCAGUGCUACACCACAUCAAUCUUUUCUCGCGAAAGAGGCAGGAGCUAGCUCUAGCUCUACCAAAUCACUGAAAGGGAAUUAAUAUAUAUGUAUGUAGGUAUGUGUACAUAUAUAUGCACAUAGGUGUCAUGGCGGUUAGAUAGAUAAGCUGAAAAUAUGUGGAGAGGCAGGUAAUUAGCUUGUGGCGCACGUAUGUGUGAGAGAGAGCUAGCUAGGCCGCCUGCGCUAGCUAACGGCUUUGGCGAUCCACAUCGAUCAUACGUGGACUAUCCAACGGUCGUGGUGCGGACGUUGGACCAAGAGCUUUAUCCUCACAUCCGGCCGCCUCUGGCCCUCUCUCCCUCUCCCUCUGUCUCUCCCUCUCUCUCUCUAGCAUGUGGUCCUCUCUCUCUCUCUACCUCCCUCUCUCCCGCUUGAGCAUAUUCCUAGUCCAUUUCCUAAGUUGACUAGCGGUUGCGUACUUGCACGCCUGUUAAAUAUCUGUUACCGAUUUCAAAAGGAUAAAAAUAUAGAGUAGCUUUACCUGCUUCCCAGCAGAUUUUCAGCAAAGUUAUCUGCCAAAGUUUAAGGUAGAACUAGCAACUAGGAUGCGAACCAGGGAAGAAAUAAAGGGGGUUAGUGGCUAACUCAAAAGUUCCACUCGACAGGUCAAAGUUUUAUCCCGUUGUUUAAGCCACUUAAUUCCUCUUAUUAGUUAAUUACUCUGUUGCACGCAGCGACAACCCGGUCAAGCUGCUGCCCAAAAUAUUCCUCGGCGCCAUUGUCUGUGCGUGCACCUGACACCAACUGAGACUACUCGCUGUAAAAAAGAAAAGGUUUCACGUAACAUCAGCAAUGAGUCCUCCAGAUAGAGAGAGCAGGAAGCAAUCCGUGAGCGUCCAUGCAUACAUACAAAUUUUCAGUUAAAUGUCGCUUUCUGGGGAUAGAAAACUCAGUGGAUUUCCAACGUCAGGUCAAAAGGCUGCAGAUGUGUUUCUACAAGAAUCGCAUCCUGCCGCCGACCUUGUUGUUUUAUGUGCACACACUUACCUUUUGUUCUUUUUGAUUUCUUGGUAUUUCAUAAUAAAUUAAUCUAGUAGUAAAAAUUUGUUACCCGGGACGGUAAAUAAUUAACAAAUAAAUUUACUUUGCUUAUUAAUUAAUUUAAGUGUGGUAAGUAGUACUGUACAUGAUAAUUAACUAACGGGGGUGAAAUAUACGUACUUGCAGGUGCUGAGGCCAUCGGCGUGUGCUACGGCAUGAGCGCCAACAACCUGCCGCCGGCGAGCACGGUGAUCGACAUGUACAAGGCGAACGGCAUCUCGGCGAUGCGUCUGUACGCCCCCGACCAGGGCGCACUCCAGGCCGUGGGCGGCUCGGGCAUCAGCGUCACCGUCGGCGCCCCCAACGACGUGCUCUCCAACAUCGCCGCCAGCCCCGCCGCCGCCGCGUCCUGGGUCCGCAACAACAUCCAGGCGUACCCGUCCGUGUCCUUCCGCUACAUCUGCGUCGGCAACGAGGUCGCCGGCGGCGCGGCUCAGAACCUGGCGCCGGCGAUGGAGAACGUCCACGCCGCGCUGGCCGCUGCCGGGCUCGGCCACAUCAAGGUGACGACGUCGGUGUCGCAGGCCAUCCUGGGCGUGUACAGCCCGCCCUCCGCCGCCGAGUUCACCGGCGAGGCCAAGGGGUACAUGGGCCCCGUGCUGUCGUUCCUGGCCCGGACCGGGUCGCCGCUGAUGGCCAACAUCUACCCGUACCUUGCGUGGGCCUACAACCCGAGCGCCAUGGACAUGAGCUACGCGCUCUUCACCUCCAAGGGCACGGUGGUGCAGGACGGCGCCUACGGGUACCAGAACCUGUUCGACACGACGGUGGACGCCUUCUACUUCGCCAUGGGCCGGCACGGCGGCUCCGGCGUGCCGCUGGUGGUGUCGGAGAGCGGGUGGCCGUCCGGCGGCGGCGAGCAGGCGAACGCGGCCAACGCCAGGAUCUACAACCAGUACCUGAUCAACCACGUCGGGCGCGGCACGCCGAGGCACCCCGGCGGCAUCGAGACCUACCUCUUCUCCAUGUUCAACGAGAACCAGAAGGACAGCGGCGUGGAGCAGAACUGGGGGCUCUUCUACCCCAACAUGCAGCACGUCUACCCCAUCAGCUUCUGAUCACCGGAGCUCUCGUCUAUGAUUAAGUACGUAUACGGGGUACG
rnacentral:lncRNA from 1 species